ACCAUCUUGACUCUUUGGGGUGAGUCCAACACAUCUAUGCUGCAGCUGAUCAGAUUGUAGCCUGCUGAGAAGGACCUCUUGAUCUUCAGAGCACAUUUCCUGGCAGAAAAAAUAAGGCAAGCACAAGGUAAGGUUGCCUUCCACAAGCAAAAGUGAAAAGAACAAAAGCAAUAGCUACAUUUGUUAAGUGCUUAUUGGGUACCCUGUUCUAUUAAUAUUACACUGGUCAUCUGAUUUAAUCUUCACCAUAACCUUAUGAAGAACUAUUAAUAGCCCCAUUUUAUAGAGGAAUAAUUGAGGCAAUAAAUGUUUAAGAACAAUCCAAAGUCACAUGCUAGUAAAUAGUGGAGCCAGGACUUGACCCUGUGUAGUACAGCAAGAGUUCACAUUCUUUUUUUUUUUUUUAAGGAAAAUUUGUAUUUUAAUUAUUUUUAUGUACAGAAAACUCAACAGUGUACAUUUAACCCAGUUUAGUGGCAAGUUCUUUAGCCUUUGCCUUUUCGAGCUUGGCGAUACGAGCCACAGACUUGGGACCCAGGACAUUGCCGCCCCAGUGACAGCGGAUCUCAUCGUAUCUGUCGUUGUCAUUGGUCCUGAUAGCUUCCACCAGCUUAGCCAAAGCGCCUUCGUCUUCCGAGUUCACCUGUGUGAAGGCGGCAGUGGUGCAGGUCUUCCUGUGGACUAGACGGCCCAGUCUUGCCUUCCCCUUGAUAAUGCAGUAAGGAACCCCCAUUUUACGACACAGGGCAUGCAAGAAGACAGCCAGCUCGAUGGGAUCCACGUCGUGUGCAAUCACCACCAGCUGAGCUUUCUUGUUCUCCACCAAGGUGGUGACAGUGUUAACUCCUGCUCGAAGGACAGGUGGUCUCUUAGUGGAGACGUCCCCUUUGCCAGCAGCUUUCUUCUCGGCCCGGGCCAACAGCCUCUGCUUCUUCUCUUGCUUCGUCUCUGGCCUGUACUUGUGGACCAGCUUAAGCAGCUGAGUAGCUGUUUGGCAGUCCAGGGCCUGGGUGAACUGGUUAAUAGCAGGAGGUACUUUCAGCCACUUAUAGAGGAUGGCUCUCUGCCGCUGCAACCUGAUAGAGCGGGGCCAUUUCACAAAGCAGGCACUCAGGUCCGGGUGCAGUGGCUCACGCCUGUAAUCUCAGCACUUUGGGAGGCUGAGACCGGUGGAUCACCUAAGGUCAGGAGUUCCAGACCAGCCUGGCCAGACAUGGCGAAACCCCAUCUCUACUAAAAGUACAAACAUUAGCCGAGCAUGGUGGCGGGCGCCUGUAAUCCCAGCUACUUAGGAGGUUGAGGCAGGAGAAUCGCUUGAACCCAGGAGGCAGAGGUUGUAGUGAGCCGAGAUUGCACCACUGCACUCCAGCCUGUGUGAUAAGAAUGAGACUCCAUCUCAAAAAAACAAAAAACAAAAAACAAACAAACAAACAAAAACCUGGCACUCAGGUUUUAGCUUCUCUGUCAUUCCUGAGUCACUUCAGACUGCAAUACUUUGUGCCUUCCUGGUGUUGCUCACAUGAUCAAGAACUCAUUUUAACAAUAGCUGUCAUGUUUGAGUGCUUACAGUGUGCCAGUCAUUUGUCCAAGCAUUUUACUGCGUAAUCAUCAUCAAACCUUGCUAAGGAAGGUAUCAUCCUCAAUCUCUACAUGAGGAAACCAAAGCCUGGAGAAGUUAAGUAACUGGCUUAAUAUCAGAGCUUAGUGAAUGGUAGAAACAAGGUCCCAGCCCAAACUGUCUGGCUCCAGAGAUUGGUUGUCAUAUAACUUAUAGACCAAGCUGCAACACUUUUGAGAGUGACAGGAGAUAAUAUUAAUAAUUAUGCCAGGACAACAGAUAUAAACCAAGACUGAUCUAGGCACACCAGGACAUGAGAUUGUCCAACAUAUUCUGCCAUUUUAAAUGUACUCGUUGAAUGGUUACAAUCUUGUGAAAAGACCACAGGCUUUAUAGCCAACCAAAUUCAGGCUUAACUGAGCAGAGGCAUGAAAACACCCAGCACAGUGCCUGCUGCAUGGUAGGAACUCAGCAGAUACCUGUUUCCUUCUGUCAAGCUUCUAAUCCUUUGCUGGGCAACAUGGGCAAGUGUAACAUGUUGCCCUUAUUCUAGAAGCCCUUACAAUAGAGUUGAUAGAAAAAGGAACAUAAAUGAAAACUUUUAAAGAUUAUUCUAAGACUUUAGUAAUCCAAGACUGAGCGUAAGCGUUCAGAGAUGGUGAUUCCCUCAGCUUUUGAGUCUUUUGGUGAGUAGAAUUUGAACUGUCUUGAAGACUGAGUAGAAGGUAGGAAGGUUAGAGUUGGGUAUAGCUAAGAAAAGAAUGAGUUUAUUCAGAACUGUCUGUGUGACAUAAGUUUGUCAAACAUUUCAACUCCAUUCCAACUAUUGUAAUGUUCCAGAUACAAUGAAACAGGGACACGUUUUUAUUGUAUUUUAUUUUUUCAGUGUUGUGUACUCAUGAACCCUUAGAGAGCCCAGAUGAGGACUUGAUUCUCCCAGGCAUGGAAGGACAGACAAAGAAACUUCUUAGGAGCAUUGGUCUGUGGUUUUCAAGACCUUCUGUUAUUUAGGAAUUUUGAACAAAAUUCUGCGCCUCACAAUGUUUUUCACAGUAAGAGUAACAGCUGUGGGGUACUUAUUCCUCCCUGAUUUGUGUAAAAAGGAAGAGCAACUUCACACUUUUUCUCAAUCCCAAGUGUGGGAAAUUCUAAACAGGCUCAACACCACCCUCUAGUGUGCACAAAGGGCGGAUGUGGGAAUUGAAGCCUGUUCAUGACAAAGGCAGCUGGUGAAGACUGGAGAAGGUAGAAGAAGAGAAACAUCCUUGUAUCUGCAGGAAGCCCAUAAAUUAAUAAAUAUCCAAGUGCUCUAAGGUAAAGUACUUCUUUAAUAGAAAGAUCUAAGGGACCGCUUCCAAAAGAAAUAAUAUAAUGUUCUGUGAAAUAGUAAUCCCACGAGAUUCCGUCCACACCCACUCUUAAAGUGCCCCACGGUUAAAUAAGUUUGGAAUCCUCUGCAUAUCAUUACAGUCUUCUGCAAGCCCCUGUUAUAGGUUCAGUGUUUAGAAAAGCUGUUGGAAGUUAUGCAGUGAUGAAAAAUCCACUUCCA
ensembl:lncRNA